rnacentral:rRNA from 1 species
UUUAACUGAAGAGUUUGAUCAUGGCUCAGAUUGAACGCUGGCGGCAGGCUUAACACAUGCAAGUCGAGCGGGGGAAGGUAGCUUGCUACUGGACCUAGCGGCGGACGGGUGAGUAAUGCUUAGGAAUCUGCCUAUUAGUGGGGGACAACAUCUCGAAAGGGAUGCUAAUACCGCAUACGUCCUACGGGAGAAAGCAGGGGAUCUUCGGACCUUGCGCUAAUAGAUGAGCCUAAGUCGGAUUAGCUAGUUGGNNNNNNNNNNNNNNNNNNNNNNNNNNNNNNNNNGCCCAGACUCCUACGGGAGGCAGCAGUGGGGAAUAUUGGACAAUGGGNGGGAACCCUGAUCCAGCCAUGCCGCGUGUGUGAAGAAGGCCUUAUGGUUGUAAAGCACUUUAAGCGAGGAGGAGGCUACUUUAGUUAAUACCUAGAGAUAGUGGACGUUACUCGCAGAAUAAGCACCGGCUAACUCUGUGCCAGCAGCCGCGGUAAUACAGAGGGUGCGAGCGUUAAUCGGAUUUACUGGGCGUAAAGCGUGCGUAGGCGGCUUAUUAAGUCGGAUGUGAAAUCCCCGAGCUUAACUUGGGAAUUGCAUUCGAUACUGGUGAGCUAGAGUAUGGGAGAGGAUGGUAGAAUUCCAGGUGUAGCGGUGAAAUGCGUAGAGAUCUGGAGGAAUACCGAUGGCGAAGGCAGCCAUCUGGCCUAAUACUGACGCUGAGGUACGAAAGCAUGGGGAGCAAACAGGAUUAGAUACCCUGGUAGUCNNNNNNNNNNNNNNNNNNNNNNNNCCUGGGGAGUACGGUCGCAAGACUAAAACUCAAAUGAAUUGACGGGGGCCCGCACAAGCGGUGGAGCAUGUGGUUUAAUUCGAUGCAACGCGAAGAACCUUACCUGGCCUUGACAUACUAGAAACUUUCCAGAGAUGGAUUGGUGCCUUCGGGAAUCUAGAUACAGGUGCUGCAUGGCUGUCGUCAGCUCGUGUCGUGAGAUGUUGGGUUAAGUCCCGCAACGAGCGCAACCCUUUUCCUUACUUGCCAGCAUUUCGGAUGGGAACUUUAAGGAUACUGCCAGUGACAAACUGGAGGAAGGCGGGGACGACGUCAAGUCAUCAUGGCCCUUACGGCCAGGGCUACACACGUGCUACAAUGGUCGGUACAAAGGGUUGCUACACAGCGAUGUGAUGCUAAUCUCAAAAAGCCGAUCGUAGUCCGGAUUGGAGUCUGCAACUCGACUCCAUGAAGUCGGAAUCGCUAGUAAUCGCGGAUCAGAAUGCCGCGGUGAAUACGUUCCCGGGCCUUGUACACACCGCCCGUCACACCAUGGGAGUUUGUUGCACCAGAAGUAGCUAGCCUAACUGCAAAGAGGGCGGUUACCACGGUGUGGCCGAUGACUGGGGUGAAGUCGUAACAAGGUAGCCGUAGGGGAACCUGCGGCUGGAUCACCUCCUUAA